rnacentral:rRNA from 1 species
GGCCUCAAAUCAGACAAGAGUACCCGCUGAACUUAAGCAUAUCAAUAAGCGGAGGAAAAGAAACUAACAAGGAUUCCCCUAGUAACGGAGAGUGAAGCGGGAACAGCUCAAAUUUUAAAUCUGGCUGCUUUGUAGUCCGAGUUGUAAUUUGAAGGAGUCUUGCUGCUGGCAAAAACGAUGGCACAAGUCCUCUGGAACGGGGCAUCGUAGAGGGUGAGAAUCCCGUCUCUGGUCAUCACGCGCUGGCAUACGGCAGGCAUCCGAAGAGUCGAGUUGUUUGGGAUUGCAGCUCCAAAUGGGUGGUAAACUCCAUCUAAGGCUAAAUAUUGGCGAGAGACCGAUAGCGAACAAGUACCGUGAGGGAAAGAUGAAAAGAACUUUGAAAAGAGAGUAAAACAGUACGUGAAAUUGUUGAAAGGGAAACGAUUGAAG